UUGCAAUUGCCACUUAACCCAAAAUCAGGAUCUUUGGAACUCCUACAGGGUCUGGUAUAGGAGUAUUGGUAUAUAUUUCAUGAGUCUGUUCUAGGAAAGUACAUUCUGAAGUCUGUUGGACUCUAAUAGCUUUGAAAGAUAACUGUGAAAACAGUUAAGAAUUGUGAUAAAAAUACUAGAAAGAGCCAUCAGUUUGCUAGCAGGAUGGCAAUGCAACGGCAGUCUGAUUUUCUGAGCCUGGCUCACUUGCGUUCUUCCACGGGAAAUGCCAUGUACUAAAGCGGGCAAGGAGGAGGAAGAUUUACAAUGUGAAUAUUACAAUGUCACUGCUUUGAUGCUCCUCAAAAUAGAAAACUUCCCUUUGAGGACAAGAAGACAGCUUCACUUGAAUAAUGUAAAAUAUCAGUUUUUCUUCUUGAAUUGCGUUUUUGUUUGUUUGUUUUAACAUUUUUUUAAUUAUAUAAAUAAAAUCUGCAAGUCCUUAUAUAUCAAAAAUAUUUUAGCUAUUUUAGCUACUGGGAAAGUUGUGGUUAAAGAUGUGAAUUUUCUAGUAGCACAAUAAAGUAUGUUCUACAAAUGUGUAGAUCAGAAUGUGAUGGAUGUUUUAAAGCCUGCGACUAUGUGUGCUUCAGUGGAAUUAGGCAAAAUGCUGAAUACACCAUCAAGCAGAGCAAAGGGUUGAGACAUUGCCCAAGGAGAAAUCCAAGCCCCUGUUAGUUUCCAACUCUCUGUUAGAUUCAGGUUUUAGGCAUGAAAUUGCACAAGUGAAAACAAUUUUCCUAAGUGAACCCUAGUGCCCUGUACCAAGGAUUUUCUUCUGUAAUGAAUUCUUUAGCCUCAGAGCCUGGAAGCCUGUAACAAACAAAAUAAAACCACUGCGUUGUAAACAAAUAAUAAAAAAAUCUUGCACAUUGGAUACGAUGGAGAAUAUGCAAAUAUGGGAAAUAAACCAAGCAAAUAAAGGCAAGCAUCCUAUUAGUCUCUACCAAUCAUAAUAGGAUGUAACUGGGUAAUUGUCAGCAGAUUUUUUAGGAUAGCGACUGAAGAUCUAAGAGCUUAA